AUAAAAACUCUUUCAUCACUGCUCUUCUUAUGCCUUCAUUUUAAACACAGCUUUUCCAUUUCAGAUGCGAACACAUCCCAGGUUUAUCACCUCUGGUUUCUGGAAAGGGGCAUUUGUUUUGGGAAACAAGUGGAAGAGCAGCAUUCUGCCAGGAAAUGUCAUCCUAUUUCCCACUGUCACACAAAGUGCCCGAGGCUGUGAUUGAAAAAUCUUGUGAAAAGACUCAUAUUCUGUUUCUAAUCAGGAACUUAAUAAAAGCAGAAGUCAGCUGCUCUGAGGGACCCAUGUGUCCCACCUGGGAGCACAGUCCAAGUCCCUCUGGUAAGUAGCUGGCCAUGUGUGGGCACAGAUGCCACUUCUGUGCACACAGCUGCCAUGCCAAUGCCAAGAGAUGUGGUGUGUGU